CAAUAAGCGGAGGAAAAGAAACCAACAGGGAUUGCCUCAGUAACGGCGAGUGAAGCGGCAAAAGCUCAAAUUUGAAAUCUGGCCCUUUCAGGGUCCGAGUUGUAAUUUGCAGAGGAUGCUUCGGGAGCGGCGGUGGUCUAAGUCCCCUGGAACGGGGCGUCGCAGAGGGUGAGAAUCCCGUCUUGGACCGCAUGCCCGUGACCGUGUGAAGCUCCUUCGACGAGUCGAGUUGUUUGGGAAUGCAGCUCAAAAUGGGUGGUAAAUUUCAUCUAAAGCUAAAUACUGGCUGGAGACCGAUAGCGCACAAGUAGAGUGAUCGAAAGGUUAAAAGCACCUUGAAAAGGGAGUUAAAUAGCACGUGAAAUUGUUGAAAGGGAAGCGCUUGCAACCAGACUCGGCCGCAGAGGCUCAGCGGGCACGUGUGCCCGUGCACUCCUCUGUGGCCGGGCCAGCAUCAGUUCUGACGGCCGGUCAAAGGCCCCUGGAAUGUAUCCUCCUCCGGGAGGUCUUAUAGCCAGGGGUGCAAUGCGGCCAGUCGGGACUGAGGAACGCGCUUCGGCACGGAUGCUGGCGUAAUGGUUGUAAGCGACCCGUCUUGAAACAC
rnacentral:rRNA from 2 species